GUGCUUAUUUUGCAGCACAUAUGCUAAACUUGGAUCAAUGCAGAGAAGAUUAGCAUUGUCCCUGCUCAAGGAUGACACACAUCAUUCCAGAGAUUAAAUAAAAGCCC